CAUUAUUCUCAGGGCGGGGCGAAAUUCCCCACCGGCGGUAUGUCAGCACGCAAAUCAUUGUAAGACUGGCGAGCCCGCGAGCGCCCAAACACAUGUUUGGGGUCAGCAGACUUGGUGAGAUGCCAAGGCCGACGGUUAUAGUCCGGAUGAAAGAGGAUGAUA
rnacentral:ncRNA from 2 species